AUGUGAGGGAAACGCAAAUAGAAGCGACACUUACAGUGCCCUGCUAGCCAAAUGGUGAAAUUCUGGAGGGGAAAAGGAGGCUCAAGAAAAGAAGAAUGCUGUGCAGUUGAUCAAGAACAAAAAGAGUUGAAAACCAGACUUCUUGAAGCCAACUCUAGCAAAGGGAAAGAAUUCUGUUUCUGCCAGCCAGACCCAGUCUCCAGUGCUGGUCCCCCUGAUGGCAGUUUGUACAACCCUGUGAAACCUGCCAAGCUGGACGCCACAGCUUUGCACGACUGCACUUUGGCCGCCACUGUGCCUCCUUCGGAGCUGUCGAAUCAUGCAGUCCUAGCCUGUGACACAGGCAUUCACGAAGAGCACUAUGUAAGUGAAGCAGUAGAAGAUGAUGUGCCAGACUGCAGAGAGUACAGAGAUGCCUGCACCAUUACUGAUGUGUGCAAUAGUACCAAUCUUCCUGAAGUUGAAAUCAUCAGUCUACUGGAAGAGCAGCUGCCUCAUUAUAAGCUAAGAGCAGAUACAAUCUAUGGUUAUGACCACGACGACUGGCUUCAUACACCUCUCAUUUCCCCUGAUGCUAAUAUUGACUUAACAACUGAGCAAAUAGAAGAGACCUUGAAAUACUUUCUUUUAUGUGCUGAAAGAGUGGGCCAGAUGACUAAAACAUACAAUGACAUAGAUGCUGUUACACGUCUUCUUGAAGAGAAAGAACGGGACUUAGAAUUAGCUGCUCGGAUUGGUCAGUCACUGUUAAAGAAGAAUAAAUCACUGACAGAAAGAAAUGAGUUUCUGGAGGAGCAAGUAGAACACAUCAGGGAAGAGGUUUCUCAGUUGCGGCAUGAGCUCUCCAUGAAAGAUGAGCUGCUCCAGUUCUAUACCAGCGCUGCUGAAGAAAGUGAGCCGGAGUCCCUCUGUUCCACCCCGCUGAAGAGGAAUGAAUCUUCCUCCUCUGUCCAGAACUACUUUCAUUUGGAUUCUCUUCAAAAGAAACUCAAGGACCUUGAAGAGGAGAAUGUUGUGCUUAGAUCUGAGGCCUGUCAGCUGAAGACUGAAACAAUUACUUACGAAGAGAAAGAACAACAGCUUGUCAAUGACUGUGUAAAAGAGCUAAGGGAUGCAAACAUACAGAUUGCCAAUAUCUCCGAAGAGUUAGCAAAGAAAACUGAAGAUGCUGCCCGGCAGCAAGAAGAAAUCACCCAUCUUCUCUCUCAGAUAGUCGAUCUGCAGAAAAAGGCAAAAGCUUGUGCAGUUGAAAAUGAGGAGCUUGUCCAGCAUUUGGGAGCAGCUAAAGAUGCCCAGAGACAGCUCACAGCAGAGUUGCGAGAGCUGGAAGACAAGUAUGCAGAGUGCAUGGAAAUGCUUCAUGAGGCUCAAGAAGAGCUGAAAAACCUUAGGAACAAGACCAUGCCGAAUGCCAUAUCACGUCGGUACCACUCUCUUGGUCUCUUCCCUAUGGAUUCUUUGGCAGCAGAGAUAGAAGGGUCAAUGAGGAAAGAACUGCAUUUAGAUGAACCCGACUCUCCUGACUUGGCUCAUCAGAAGCGGGUCUUCGAGACGGUGAGAAACGUUAACCAAGUUGUCAAGCAGAGAUCCAUGACUCCAUCACCAAUGAAUAUCCCAGGCUCUAACCAGUCCUCUGCUAUGAACUCAGUCAUUUCUAGCUGUGUCAGCACUCCACGUUCCAGUUUCUAUGGGGGAGACAUCGCUAACAUUAUGAUAGACAACAAGACCAAUAGCAUCAUCUUAGAGACAGAAUCCUCUGACAAUGGAAAUGAAGACAGGAUGAAGAAGCCUGGAACUCCGGGGACUCCAGGCUCCAGUGACCUAGAGACUGCCCUUCGUAGGCUGUCCCUCAGGCGGGAGAAUUACCUCUCGGAGCGCAAGUUCUUCGAAGAAGAGCAGGAAAGGAAGUUGCGGGAACUGGCAGAAAAGGGUGAACUCCGUAGUGGUUCUGUUACCCCCACAGAGAGCAUCAUGUCGCUGGGAACGCACUCCAGAUUUUCAGAAUUCACUGGAUAUUCAGGAAUGUCUAUCAGCAGUCGCUCCUACCUGCCAGAAAAGCUUCAGAUUGUGAAACCACUAGAAGGUUCUGCCACUUUGCACCACUGGCAGCAGCUGGCUCAGCCUCACCUGGGCGGCAUCCUGGACCCAAGGCCCGGGGUUGUCACCAAGGGCUUCAGGACCCUCGACCUGGACCUGGAUGAAGUGUACUGCCUUAAUGACUAUGAGGAAGAUGAGACAGGUGACAUUUCUUACAAGGGCCUAACUACCUCGACGCCAGUUCAGCACACAGAGACCUCAGGUGAGAGGUCACAAGCACAAGUGACUGUUUCAGACAACAAGAAUAACCCCCGCCAAUCUCAGGCUUACACAGAGGAGAUGCAGGAGUCCGCGGCUGACGAUGAUGAGGGGUCUGGUGAGGGAAACUCAUUAAGUCCAGUAAAACUGACAUCUUUACAGGAUUUUGAUUACUGGGCCAUUCUCGCAUCUCUUCAGAACAGCAUCCAUAGCAUUGCUUUGUGUGUAGCAUCUGCACGUUAAUGCGUGCAGUAGUUAGAACAUAACCAUUCUAACAUUGGCUCAAAAAUCCUUUCUUUAAUAAUCUUUUAAUUUGACUUUUUUUUUUUUUUUUUUCAGUAACAGCAUCUGUGGUCAAUAUUUUACUCUUAUUUUGAUAAGAGAAGGCUGCUAAAAGGAAGUGGUUCGUUCACAAACCUUUGUGUGGCACGUAUGCAACUUGUAUGUGUAUUUAGUGCACGCUCUUCAGUGUAUGUAAUGUACGGACAAUAUAUAUUUUGUAUGCCUAUAGCGCAGAUAUUCUUCUGACUGUUCAUAAGAGGUGACACUAUGCUUCAGAUUUUUUGUACUUUGGGAAAAACCCAAAGAUUAAAUGAUGACAAAAAGGUGCCUCUAAGUUGCCUUUGCUGAAACAAAUGGAAGUGCCUUGAAAAUCAAGGAAAGACAUUUUGCAAGUUUAAUUCAGUUACCUCAGGUACAGUUACCUGUUUUUAAAUUCCCUCUGAGAUGAGGAAUUAAGAGGAUGUUUUUAUGCAGAGAAUAAUGACAUUUCCCUCAUUCCAUCACACUAUUAAAUUCUAUCCUUCCUAUUCAUACCAUAUUAAGACUUAAACAUUUUAAAGUGACACAGUACUGCAUGAGUUAUUAGAUAUUCUAAACUGACAUUUGCAGUCUAUUAUUGCACAAGGUUACAGGUUCUCAGACUAUAGAUGUGUUUUGAGUUUGUGUGGUUUAUUUUUUGGGGGUUUUUUGGGGGGUGUGUUUGUUUUGUUUUAAUAAGCUAUAUAGGAGUGUUAGUCUUCAUUAAGAUUUGCCACUGGUAAAGAAUUAUAUUUAGUCGAGAAUCAGAAAACUACCAGAACUCCUUUUUCUUCAGACUUCUUGUUUUUACAUAACUACUUUAAAUGAAGACACUUCCUUCCCCCUCCUUUUUCUGGAAUAAAUCAUAAUUUUUUGGCUGGUCUGUGGAAGAUUAGAUUGUCUCAGGGCUAGACAAUAAUAUUUCUGUUAUUUUAGUCAAGUGCAGAAUAUCCUCAGUUCUUACUGAAAUGGCAGUUCAGUGCUUUCAGCUAUUGAAUAUAAACUACUUUUUUGCAGUCAGUUGUAUUAAGAUUAAACUUCGAGUCAUAGAAUCAUUUAGGUUGGAAAAGACCCUUAAGAUCAUUGAGUCCAACCAUAAACCUAACAUUGCCAAGUCCACCCCUAAACCAUGUCCCUAAGCACCACAUCUACAUGUCUUUUAAAUACCUCCAGGGAUGGUGACUCAACCCCUUCCCUGGGCAGCCUGUUCCAGUGCUCGAACAUUCAAACCCUUCAACGUCCCUUUCCUUUGGCAGAAAUUGUCUUUGUUCUAUGAGGUCUAUUGCCCAGGAAUAAUGAUUAUAUUAAUUUUUUUAUAUUAAUAUGGAAAUAAAUACUGCCUCUGCAGUAUUUGUGUACAGUUUGGGAUAUUAUCCAGGUUUUUAUCAUUUUGAAGAGUCUGAAUAACAACAGCAAGAAAAGCUGGAGAUCUAGGAAACAUGGACUGAAAUAAUCAAAGACUGAAAUAACUGGCAUUUUUUAAGGUCUACAGAAUAAAAGAUUCAAGAAAAGAUAUGAUUCAUUUUAAAAUGUGUUGCUGCAGAGAGGAAGGGAACAAGCAGUUCUUCAUGUACUCAGGAUACAAUAACUAUGCAAAAAAAAAGCUGUUUGGGUUGCACUUUGGGUGAAGAAUUUUCUAAUUGUAAGAACAUUCAACACAGGAACAUGUUGAAAAUUUGGAAACCUUAUUGUCGUGCACUAUACAUAGACAAGGAUAUAGAUAUAGUUUAGUUCUUUGGGUUUUUUUAAGAACAGAUUUGUAAAACAUCUGUGGGUAAUGAUUUGGAAGAGUUCUUUCUUUGGAGCAGGAAAAUAAAUGUAGACCUGCACUGUGAUUACAAACUGGCAAGAAAGACUAGUAUUUCCCUCCAUUUUCUUUCUCCUUUAUAAUUUCAAUACAGGUCACUGUUAUCAACAGGUUAUUCCCUGGUUACUGCUGAUUUUGCCUGGGAAAACUCUAGCUCUCUCAGACAAGGUUUUUAAUCGUAUUCCCUACCUUUUAAAUUGGCAAAAGCCUAUGAAAUUGUCCUAGUAAUCUUAUUUCAUCUUGUAUUGUUUGCCAAGUAAUUUUAAUACAGUACAGCAAUAGAGAAAUUGAUCAAAAUGAGUAACUUUGAUGUGUAGAAUGAACAAACGCACUGAAAACUUUAAUUUCCCAUUCUUCAUUCUUCCUUCAAAUUGCCCAGCUGCUUAGGAUUCAGGAGCAUCCAUGAGCCACUACUUCAUUAUUAGUUGUGUUACUCAAAUGAAGUAAAGACACUACUGUAUCUGCCUUUUGUUGAAGCAGUCUGUAAAGUGGUAUACAAGGAGAAGGUAAUUGUGGAUGUUUUCAGACUAGGCACUUGCUAAUGUGGCUGUGUUUCUUAGGAUCCACAAUGUGCCCACUGAAGAAUAUCUUUUGGGACCAGAGAUGUAAAGUAUCUCCCUGCAGUUGCCAUUGGCGGGCCAUAGAGCGUGCCGGUCUAGAGCUACAGGUCUUCUAACCUGAGAAGAAAAUGUCUUUGGAAAUACAGUGCCUACAAGGACUGUUUCCAGCAGGUGUAAGUCAUCAUAGUCUUUUGGGUAGGCAUCUGCUUCAUUUGAUAUGUGUGCUUUGAGGCUUGUAUCUUACCUUUUUUUGCGCUGGAGAUGUUCUCUGGCAGAGUACUAUGAGGUCCUGUUCUUGCUGCCUUUUUGUGGGAGUGCAGAGUGCUGCUCGAGAUGAGCCCAAGAGAAGUCAUUUUAACAUCCAGGCUCAGGAGAGCAAGCAUUGCUGGUAGUGCCAAAGGUGUCUUGUAGCCAAAAUAAAUGUAUUCAGAACAGAGUAUCAGUUGUUUCUUGUUGAGUGAUGGAUAGAGUCAGAAAUCAUUCUGACUAAAUAAGAAAAAAUUAGGAACCUUGAUUUUUCCUGUCCCUGUAUUGAAACCUGUAGUAUCCGUUGAUACAUAAAAUAAUUUCCUCACCGUAUAUGCAGAUUAUAUCCCAAUUAUGGCACUGAAUAUUUCAGAAGAAAUAAACACACAUGUAAUUUAUGACCUGCAGUUGGUCUGUUGGAGCUGUACACUGUGUGCGGGCCCAGUAACUUUAUGGAAGAUUGUAAAUUCCAGAAUUGCAGCUCUAGCCUGAUAUCCAGGAAUAGGUUGAAAUUUGUGUAUCACUUAAGUAGCCUCUCAGUAUAAUUGGAAUGGUAAAGAAGUUACAGGACACAGCAAUGUUAAUACCAUCUAGGACAAGUAAUUUUUGCAGGACAAACUUCUAGUAACCUCAAUAUAUUUUUUUAUUCUUUGAAAGAAACUGUAUUAUAUUGUAAAACCGUACAGAGUCUGUGUUGGGGAGAGGGGUGGUUGUUGGGGGGGAGGUGCUUGGUUGUUGUUGGGGUUUUUUUAAUUCAUCGCCUUUCAGGUUUCCCUUAAACAAACAAGAAACCCCAAGCCAUUCAAAGCACUUAAUAAUGUUGUGAAUGUUCUCAUUUUGAAGUUGGAAGGGCUACACUUGAUUCAGCAUGUGCUUAGUUGCAUGCUAGUAUUGGGUGCAUGAACUGGUCUUUCAGUACUUGUGUUUGUUAGUUCCACUGAUGGAUUGCUUUGAACAGACGUGUGCACGGCAUUACGGGAUCAGCCCUCUUGUACUUCAUGUUUAGACCUUAACCACGCCAUGGAGAUCUUUCCAAAUAGGUGCCUAAAUCACAGAAACAGAUAAUGAAUGUCUUAUGUUUGAGUUUUUAGCAAGAUUACUAUACAUGCUUCUAAGAGAUUACCAUUGUACAGAAAAGCAAUAUAUUUUGUAACUUUUCUUAGAACCAAGGUAUUGAUGCAUAUUUAAAUAUAUUUUAUUUUCAAAUGGCAUGAAUAUUUCACAGUAAUUAUUUCUUUAAGAAAAGUCUGUCAGCAGUUGCUAUCUGUGCUGUUAAAAUGCUAGAAUUUUAAUUUGGGGAUCCUAGCCUGCAUAAACUCAUGUUGAAGCCACAUUAAAUACUUUGAAUUCUUUUUA